UAAAGGUGGAUCAACACUUUCGACCUGC
rnacentral:sRNA from 1 species